CCUGAAGUUGUGUUGCGUGUUAAUCCCGAUAUCCCUCGCUCAGAAGAACUACAGUUGCCAUGGCUGGCGCUGCAAAGUGGAGGUUCCAUUGAGAUCUGGAAAGUGGGGAUUUGUGAACGGGGUCGCUCCAUCCGAGGAGUGUAUUGGGGAAGGUCAGAAGAGGCACUACCUCCCAGGAAAAGAUGUCUCACAGUGCUGAAACUCCCCCAGUUAACUGGCCAUGUACAUUUUCUGGAUAUUGUGUUAUCAUCUGUUCGACAAUUGUAAUGCUGCUGCAGGCAAGCAGGGAAGAAACUUAAGAAUGACUUCUGUCCUCUGGUUCUGGCCCAAAUCAUCUCCAACCCAUUUCCCUUUAUCAUCCCCGUCUGCUGGGUCUCUUUUGCUCAGGCAGCGAGCUUCUGCCAGUUGCUGCACCUACAGAAAGCACCUUCUCUUAUUGGCAGCCACCGCCUCUGGGUCUUUUACUUCAUUAUUAGUUCACCAAGACGGUCAAGAGGGUUAAUUAUUGAUGUCAACAUUAUGAACUUUGUUACUACUCUUAAAGAUAAUCUGCAUUAACAGCUGUUGUGAAAUUGUCUUUCCUAGACUGCUAUUGUCUAGUGGUUUUCUGUUCUCCAUGUACAUGACAAUUACCUGGAGAGCUCUUGAAAGCCACCAAACCCAGCCGACCCAGGGCCCAAUGACCCAGAAGCACAGUAUAGUCAUUACUCUCCAUCAAACAUAAUUGCCUCUCCAUGUCUUUGUCUGCGGUGGUCCCAGUCCUUGACACACAAAAAGAAUCAGCAGAGCUCAGUCAAUACCCAGCCCCCUCUCUCCCAUUCUGCAACCAGCCUGGCAAAUGUAGGAUUCAUUUGAAUUUUCAAGCCAUUCAUUCCUAAACUCUCCUCUAUCCCUACCCACAUCAUCCUCUACAAUCCCACUCCCUUCAACUCACCAUUUGUCAAAAUAUAAGCUGCAGUAAGCAUCUAGGAAUUGUAAAAACGUAGAGCAGUUAGCAACGGGCUGGCACUCAUGGGCUCCCUGACAUAUAUUUGGUCUCAACCUCCUUAAACCACGAAUUAUACUUUAUUUGAAAAAAAUGGGAUCUUGU